rnacentral:rRNA from 1 species
UACGUAGGGUGCAAGCGUUGUCCGGAAUUAUUGGGCGUAAAGAGCUUGUAGGCGGUUUGUCGCGUCUGCUGUGAAAUUUCGGGGCUCAACCCCGAACUUGCAGUGGGUACGGGCAGGCUAGAGUGUGGUAGGGGAGACUGGAAUUCCUGGUGUAGCGGUGAAAUGCGCAGAUAUCAGGAGGAACACCGGUGGCGAAGGCGGUUCUCUGGGCCUGUACUGACGCUGAGGAACGAAAGCGUGGGGAGCGAACAGG